UAGCAAUUCUGUUUCAGAGAGGAGCAGCCUGCGUCUGUCCCAGCACAUGGAAGCAGCUGAGUGUUUCAGCAGAGCAGAAUGAAAGCCCRAUCGUCCGGACGCUGCAGCUCCAUMUCCCAGGGACCAGGYCGGGUAGCUCGCGGCUGAGAUAAUGUUCCCGCAGGUGGAGAGAUGAAAAAUGCCUACAGUGCCUGAUCGUCUGCCUUGUUCCUCCAUGGUGUGGGAUCAUUCCCUCCUGUAAGUCUUGCUAACGCCUUAACUAAUCUAAUUUUAAAUGUUUUAUGUUUCYGUAGCAGCUAAAAAGUAUAAGUCCUGAGUAAUUCUUCUUCAUAUCCUAGCUYUGCACAAGUUGUAGACCAAAUUUGCAGUGAUAGGAAGCAAAAUAAGGAUUCUCCAGGGAAAUAACUUCUUUAUGGCCAUUUUCAGAGGAUCACAAGGAUUGGCAGCAGCAUUAGUCCUCGGGCGAGCAGCGCGUUGGCCUCGGGAUGGAGACGAGAAGGUCUCGGAAGCCCCGGGCAAGCGGCGGGUGAGUGUCGGGCUCGGCGGCUCGUGGAGACGGCACCGGCGGGGGGGAGAUGCACGGCAGGGCGGCUCCCACGCACCCGGCUGAUCGGCCGCCCCGCCUGCUUCUCCGUGCGCUCUUCAGGAGCUCCCGGGGUUUAUUGAUAAUGCC
rnacentral:lncRNA from 1 species